rnacentral:rRNA from 1 species
UACAGAGGGUGCAAGCGUUAAUCGGAGUGACUGGGCGUAAAGGGCGCGUAGGCGGUUUGAUAAGUAAGAUUUGAAAUCCCUGGGCUUAACCUGGGAACUGGAUCUUAAACUAUGAGACUAGAGUGCAGUAGAGGGUGGUGGAAUUUCCGGUGUAGCGGUGAAAUGCGUAGAGAUCAUGAGGAAGACCAGUGGCGAAGGCGGGUCUCUGGACAGUUCCUGACACUGAGGCACGAAGGCCAGGGGAGCAAACGGG